ACGAACGCUGGCGGCGUGGCUAAGGCAUGCAAGUCGAGCGAACCUACUUCAAGGGUAACUGAGAGGUUGGUUAGCGGCGGACGGGUGAGGAAUACAUGGGUAACGUGCCCCGGACUCAGGGAUAGCUUUCCGAAAGGAAUGGUAAUACCUGAUGACCCCGUAGGAUCGCAUGAUCCAGCGGGCAAAGUUCCGGCGGUCUGGGAGCGGCUCAUGUCCUAUCAGCUAGUUGGCGGGGUAACGGCCCACCAAGGCUGCAACGGGUACCGGGCGUGAGAGCGCGACCCGGCACAUCGGAACUGAGACACGGUCCGGACACCUACGGGUGGCUGCAGCAACGAAUAUUCCGCAAUGGACGAAAGUCUGACGGAGCGACGCCGCGUGGAGGAUGAAGUCCCUCGGGAUGUAAACUCCUGUCAGGGGUUAGGAAAUUUGACCAGCCCCAGAGGAAGCCACGGCUAACUCCGU
rnacentral:rRNA from 1 species